rnacentral:rRNA from 1 species
AUACGGAGGAUCCGAGCGUUAUCCGGAUUUAUUGGGUUUAAAGGGUGCGCAGGCGGCCAUUUAAGUCAGCGGUUAAAUCGUGGGGCUCAACCCCAUUCUGCCGUUGAUACUGGGUGGCUUGAUUGCGGUCGAGGUUGGCGGAAUUCGUUGUGUAGCGGUGAAAUGCAUAGAUAUGACGAAGAACACCGAUUGCGUAGGCAGCUGUCCAGAUCGCAAAUGACGCUCAUGCACGAAAGUGCGGGGAUCGAACAGGAUUAGAUACCCUGGUAGUCCGCACAGUAAACGAUGAAUUCUUGUUUUCGGCGAUAUAAUGUCGGAGGCAAAGCGAAAGCGAUAAGUAUUCCACCUGGGGAGUACGCCGGCAACUGUGAAACUCAAAUGAAUUGACGGGA